GGAAAUGUGGCUUAGAAGUAAAGUGCUUGCCUUGCAUGCAUGAAGUCCUGGGUUUGAUUCCUCAGUACCA
rnacentral:tRNA from 1 species